rnacentral:rRNA from 1 species
CGGCGGACGGGUGAGUAACGCGUGGGUAACCUGCCUCAUACCGGGGGAUAACAGUUAGAAAUGACUGCUAAUACCGCAUAAGCGCACGGGACUGCAUGGUCCAGUGUGAAAAACCGAGGUGGUAUGAGAUGGACCCGCGUCUGAUUAGCUGGUUGGCGGGGUAACGGCCCACCAAGGCGACGAUCAGUAGCCGACCUGAGAGGGUGGCCGGCCACAUUGGGACUGAGACACGGCCCAAACUCCUACGGAAGGCAGCAG